CUCCUACGGGAGGCAGCAGUUAGGAAUCUUGCGCAAUGGGCGAAAGCCUGACGCAGCGACGCCGCGUGCGGGAUGACGGCCUUCGGGUUGUAAACCGCUUUCAGCAGGGACGAUUGUGACGGUACCUGCAGAAGAAGCCCCGGCCAACUACGUGCCAGCAGCCGCGGUAAUACGUAGGGGGCAAGCGUUGUCCGGAUUUAUUGGGCGUAAAGAGCUCGUAGGCGGUUUGGUAAGUCGGGUGUGAAAUCUCCACGCUCAACGUGGAGGGGCCACUCGAUACUGCCAUGACUAGAGUCCGGUAGAGGAGUGUGGAAUUCCCGGUGUAGCGGUGAAAUGCGCAGAUAUCGGGAGGAACACCCGUAGCGAAGGCGGCACUCUGGGCCGGAACUGACGCUGAGGAGCGAAAGCGUGGGGAGCAAACAGGAUUAGAUACCCUGGUAGUCCACGCCGUAAACGUUGGGCACUAGGUGUGGGGAUCUAUCGACGGUUUCCGUGCCGAAGCUAACGCAUUAAGUGCCCCGCCUGGGGAGUACGGCCGCAAGGCUAAAACUCAAAGGAAUUGACGG
rnacentral:rRNA from 1 species